GGCCUUUUGAUAAUAAUUUAAGGUCUGGCCUGCCCACUGAAAUUUUAAAGGGCCGCGGUAUUCUGACCGUGCAAAGGUAGCAUAAUCAUUAGUUUUUUAAUUGAAAGCUGGAAUGAAGGGUUGAAUGAAAAAAUUACUGUCUCUAUUUAAUUUAAUUAGAAUUUUAUUUUUAAGUUAAAAAGCUUAAAUAAAGUUAAAAGACGAGAAGACCCUAUAGAGUUUAAUAUUUUAUUGAUAAAUUAUUUUUUAGAAUUUAAUAUUAAUUUAUUAAUUGAAUAUUUGAUUGGGGUGAUUGAAAAAUUUAAGUAACUUUUUUUAUAUUUAAACAUUAAUUUAUGAUUAUUUGAUCCAUUAUUUAUGAUUAUAAGAUUAAAUUACCUUAGGGAUAACAGCGUAAUUUUUUUUAAGAGUUCAAAUCGAAAAAAAAGAUUGCGACCUCGAUGUUGGAUUAAAAUUUAUUUUUGGUGUAGAAGCUAAAUUUAUUGGGUCUGUUCGACCUUUAAAAUUUUACA
rnacentral:rRNA from 1 species